CAAGCGAAAGUUAUCUUUUAACUAACACUCAUCGAGUGUGCGGUUAGCAAUUUCGCGUGAC
rnacentral:tRNA from 1 species